rnacentral:rRNA from 1 species
CAGUCGCCGCGGUAAUACAGAGGGUGCAAGCGUUAAUCGGAAUUACUGGGCGUAAAGCGCGCGUAGGUGGUUUGUUAAGUUGGAUGUGAAAGCCCCGGGCUCAACCUGGGAACUGCAUCCAAAACUGGCAAGCUAGAGUACGGUAGAGGGUGGUGGAAUUUCCUGUGUAGCGGUGAAAUGCGUAGAUAUAGGAAGGAACACCAGUGGCGAAGGCGACCACCUGGACUGAUACUGACACUGAGGUGCGAAAGCGUGGGGAGCAAACAGGAUUAGAUACCCCGGUAGUCCCUGUCUUUAUACC